rnacentral:lncRNA from 1 species
AUUCUGGUCUUUGGGGAUUUUGGAUUCUUCGAACUGGCUGCCAUUCACCUAUACAUAUGGAGUCAUACAUACAGGAAAUGAUGCUCUUCGCAUUAUAUUACAAGAAAUGAAAUCUUGGGUCUUUCAAACAUUUCCACAACUGAAAAAAAAACCAGUGGUAACAGGAGGCAAAUUACCCCUUGGGACAAAAUUUAAAAGACCCUUAGAAAUGCAAAAUUUUAUCAUAUGCUUUAGUUAUAAAUAAUAAAAAUC